CUUUACUUGUAUGUAUAUCUGACUUAAUUUAAUGCAAUUUCUCCCAGACACUAACACAAUCACAAGUAAUUAAGUUACUAUGUUCAUGAAUGCAACUUAAUUGUUAGUGUAGCCGGGCUGUGCCUAUGUAUAAAUGCGCUGGCUACUGCGUUCUGACUUCGGUUCUGCAUUGUGUUGUGGUGCGUGUUGACAAAAGGGACACACUGCUGCCGUUUUUUGUAUUUUAAUAUUGGAUGAGAUGAAAUAACUGCAGUGAAUAGAUGCAGCACAAAGUUAUUAUGUUGCGCACACCUCUCCUCUGCACCUGAACGAGGCAAUAGUACAUACAUAGCCUAUAUCUGUCUUCAGGUUUAUUUUAAGGGUGAUUUUUUCCAUUGAAAGAAGUGUACUGUACUUAAUCUUCCACUCCACUCUUUGUGUUGCGCUCAUUGCAGUCAGAAAACAUAUGUUUGCCGAUCAAAACCCUUGCAGGUGAUGUUGCUUUCUCUCCCCAAAUCGUACGGGAAAAUAACGGAAGACUCACCCAAGAUCAGUAAUGUACAUCUGCAACUUCAAGCCAACGUAAUGCGGAGCGCGUUCCAGCUCGUCAACACAAUCGGCUGCAGGGGAGGUUACUUUCUGUGUUCAGUUUAUAUAAGAAUAUCAAAUUAAACGAAUCUAAGAAACGCUUUUCCAGGCAGUUUGAAUGUAUAUUCUUAUUCUUUGCAGAAUCUGUGUAAUUUGACCUACAGCACAAGUGCGCAUCAUGACUUCAACUAAGAAGGCAACUUGGAACGUACCCGAUCCUCCCAUGCGAUCAUUCUCUUUCCCGGUUGAACCCCCGAUAUCCCCCACCACCCAGGGGACCAGCUUCUCCCCCAUCCUCAACCAGGUUGAACACCCAAUAUCCCCCACCACCCAGGAGACCAGCCACACCCUCAUCCUCAACCAGGGUAAACCCCUGAUAUCCCCCACCACCCAGGAGACCAGCUUCACCCACACCAAACCAAAGAAGACGGGGAGAAAGUCCUGUCUCCCUGUCACCCUCAAAAAACCCUCCAACUCGCUGAGCAUGACACAGUCAACCCCAUCCAACCCCAUCCUACCCCGACCAAGGAAGAGGAAAUAUGACUACAUGCAUAAAGUGUCCAGUGCAUCCGGGGCAAACGAUUUUCCCUAUUCUCAAGAUUCUUGCCAAUAGACCUUCAAAGGAGGGUCAGGAGCAGAAAGUGAGGUGGAAGCCAUGCUCUGGAUGGAGUCUGUUCGCUGCUCCAAAAUCCACAUAAACGCCAGACGGGACAUUCCUGGGGCUGACACUUCCAGCUCCUCAAAAGAGCUGAACACAUCUACCUGGUAUAUGGUGUCACAGUUGACAGUGGCAGGCCAGUACCCAUUCUUUAUCAGAUCUGCCAAGUUUGCUGUCCAGGUGCUAAGACAAGUUGUGCAGGGCCAACAUGGAUGGUGCUUGUCAGGCAACCACAUAUCACCUCUGGUACAUCCAAUGGGGGAACUUUGCAGGUGUAGAGACAUCGCUGUCUUCGUAGUGAAGCUGUUUCGGCAGAGUCUCUACAUCACAGAAUAGCCCUUUUCACAUUGCAUGACUGACAGAUCUUCUGAGAAACAUGCUCUGCAGCCAGCAGAGAAUCUACAAUCUCAGGCCUGGACUCCCUCCUGUGAGAGUUCCUUCCUCACACUCCAACUGUGUGAUGAUGCACCAGGCACAGUAGGAUUUGAACACUCAGGGUCUUCUAAGUCAGCUAGGAGGAUGUUCAUUUCUCUAUAAAGUAUUGCUUUUUUGAAAAGACAAAAAUGGGAAAAGGAUUAAAGUACGAAUAUGAUAUAUUUAAUCUAUUAAAACGGACAUUGGGCUGUCAGUAGGUGACAGCAAAUAUAUCUAUGGUGUGACAAGCCAAAAACCUCAGCUUUGAUUCUACAGUAAAUUCAAUUACAGGGCAGACCAAAAUGUUGAGUAAAGUCUAAAUUGGAAUAUCACACAAUAGAACUUGAUCCCAUCAUCGAAAAUAAAUUCUGAAUGUUCUUAAAACAGCAACAACACACUGAGUACAAAACAUUCUCUUUCCCUGACAGACUGACCAGGUGAAAGCUAUGAUCCCUUAUUGAUGUCACCUGUUAAAUCCCCCUCAGUGUAGAUAAAGGGGAGGAGACAGAUUAAAGGAGGAUGUUUAAGCCUUGAGACAAUUGAGACAUGGAUUGUGUAUGUGUGCCAUUCAGAGGGUGACUGGGCAAGACAAUAUUUAAGUGCCUUUGAAAGGGGUAUGGUAGUAGGUGCCAGGUCCAACGGUUUGUGUCAAGAACUGCAACGCUGCUGGGUUUUUCACGAUCCGCAUUUAAUCGUGUGUAUCAAGAAUGGUCCACCACCCAAAGGACAUCUAGCCAAAUUGACAACUGUGGGAAGCAUUUGAGUCAACAUGGGCCAGCAUCCCUUUGGAACACUUUCGACACCUUGUGUAGUCCACACCCUGACGAAUUGAGGCUGUUCUGAGCACAAAAGGGAGUGCAACUCAAUAUUAGGAAUAUUUUGUACACUCAGUGUAUUUUGACGACAGAGUAAACUCUCCUCAAAGGCAAAUGCUUCCAGCUUCCACAAUUACAGACAGUGGUUACAAAAAGGAACGACACUGUGUAAACAUUCCAAUAGUGGAUUUGAAUGAAUUCAACUAAGACUAAUUCCAUAAUGUGGAAUAGCAGAUUGCUUCAUAUUAAAGGAAAUGUGGAGGAAAAAUCUCUGCCAGGAUGUUGUUGUUGCACUCCCCUACAGAAGUAUUUGGACAGUGAUGCUAAAAUGUUGAAUUCGUCUCUUAUACUCCAGCAUAUUCAAUUGCUUUGUCGAGAAGCUACCUGCAAGUAAGCAUUUAGUUGGAUCGUGUUACCAUCCGUAUCCUGUACAUACGACUAAUAAAACUUGCAACUAGACAUAUAAAGUGCUUUCAUUUCGAAACGGUAAAUCAGAAAAGUCUGAAAAUACCCUGAAAUAAAAGGUGACAUUCUGUACUGUAACCUCAUAUCAAACAUUUGAUCUCAAAUCCCAAAUUUUGGAGACUUGAGACACAUUUAAAAAUGUUGCAUCACUGUCAAAAUAAAGAUGUCAUGCAGUAUAAUUCAGUAACACCAAGAUGACCCCAAUUUUGAAAGUAAAACAAUAUUAACAUACCUAUUUCUUCAUCAAUGUUUAAAACUGGAGUGGAUUCCAAUCCACUGGUCCUUGUCUCUAAAAUAAGAUAUGCAAAAAAGGAAAGGAUUAGACUUAAAGGGGCAUUCAGAAGUUGAUAAAGCCAUUUUUGGAUUUAUAUUAAUGAUAUAUGGUUAAAACUAUUAUUUUAAUAACAUUGAUGGUAAGUUAUUGCAAUAAUAGCUCUGUCAAUAAAUUGAAAGUGGUUACAUUUCACCAACCAUCACUCAGCUUUUAACAAAAACAGGGGAGGAGAGUAUGCUUUGUUAUUGUUUCAACUACCAAUUACAAAUUUUAUAAAAAUACAAUAAAUGAAUUACAAGGCCACUGAAUAACAAGGAAUUGUGUAGAUUAAUAUAUACAAUCACUCAUCAAUACCUGAUUCUUCCUCCUCAGUGACUGGUCCAGAAGGUUGCACUAGUCUGGCUCUUGAUGUACUGGCCCUUGGAG
ensembl:lncRNA